AUAUGAGUUUGAUCCUGGCUCAGAAUGAACGUUGGCGGCAUGGAUUAGGCAUGCAAGUCGAGCGAGAACCAAGAAAGCUUGCUUUCGAGGGGACAGCGGCGAAAGGGAGAGUAACAGGUAGAUACCUACCUCCAGGCUGGGAAUAGCGUCGGGAAACUGGCGGUAAUGCCCAAUAACAUCUACGGAUCAAAGCUCCGGCGCCUGGAGAUGGGUCUGCUCACUAUUAGCUAGUUGGUAAGGUAAUGGCUUACCAAGGCGAUGAUAGUUAGGGGGUCUGAGAGGAUGAUCCCCCACACUGGCACUGAGAUA
rnacentral:rRNA from 1 species